rnacentral:rRNA from 1 species
AGCGAACGCUGGCGGCAGGCCUAACACAUGCAAGUCGAACGAACUCUUCGGAGUUAGUGGCGGACGGGUGAGUAACACGUGGGAACGUGCCUUUAGGUUCGGAAUAACUCAGGGAAACUUGUGCUAAUACCGAAUGUGCCCUUCGGGGGAAAGAUUUAUCGCCUUUAGAGCGGCCCGCGUCUGAUUAGCUAGUUGGUGAGGUAAAGGCUCACCAAGGCGACGAUCAGUAGCUGGUCUGAGAGGAUGAUCAGCCACAUUGGGACUGAGACACGGCCCAAACUCCUACGGGAGGCAGCAGUGGGGAAUCUUGCGCAAUGGGCGAAAGCCUGACGCAGCCAUGCCGCGUGAAUGAUGAAGGUCUUAGGAUUGUAAAAUUCUUUCACCGGGGACGAUAAUGACGGUACCGGGAGAAGAAGCCCCGGCUAACUUCGUG